AUGAACGCUAGCUACAGGCUUAACACAUGCAAGUCGAGGGGCAGCAUGGUCUUAGCUUGCUAAGGCCGAUGGCGACCGGCGCACGGGUGAGUAACACGUAUCCAACCUGCCGUCUACUCUUGGACAGCCUUCUGAAAGGAAGAUUAAUACAAGAUGGCAUCAUGAGUCCGCAUGUUCACAUGAUUAAAGGUAUUCCGGUAGACGAUGGGGAUGCGUUCCAUUAGAUAGUAGGCGGGGUAACGGCCCACCUAGUCUUCGAUGGAUAGGGGUUCUGAGAGGAAGGUCCCCCACAUUGGAACUGAGACACGGUCCAAACUCCUACGGGAGGCAGCAGUGAGGAAUAUUGGUCAAUGGGCGAGAGCCUGAACCAGCCAAGUAGCGUGAAGGAUGACUGCCCUAUGGGUUGUAAACUUCUUUUAUAAAGGAAUAAAGUCGGGUAUGGAUACCCGUUUGCAUGUACUUUAUGAAUAAGGAUCGGCUAACUCCGUGCCAGCAGCCGCGGUAAUACGGAGGAUCCGAGCGUUAUCCGGAUUUAUUGGGUUUAAAGGGAGCGUAGAUGGAUGUUUAAGUCAGUUGUGAAAGUUUGCGGCUCAACCGUAAAAUUGCAGUUGAUACUGGAUAUCUUGAGUGCAGUUGAGGCAGGCGGAAUUCGUGGUGUAGCGGUGAAAUGCUUAGAUAUCACGAAGAACUCCGAUUGCGAAGGCAGCCUGCUAAGCUGCAACUGACAUUGAGGCUCGAAAGUGUGGGUAUCAAACAGGAUUAGAUACCCUGGUAGUCCACACGGUAAACGAUGAAUACUCGCUGUUUGCGAUAUACUGCAAGCGGCCAAGCGAAAGCGUUAAGUAUUCCACCUGGGGAGUACGCCGGCAACGGUGAAACUCAAAGGAAUUGACGGGGGCCCGCACAAGCGGAGGAACAUGUGGUUUAAUUCGAUGAUACGCGAGGAACCUUACCCGGGCUUAAAUUGCAGAUGAAUUACGGUGAAAGCCGUAAGCCGCAAGGCAUCUGUGAAGGUGCUGCAUGGUUGUCGUCAGCUCGUGCCGUGAGGUGUCGGCUUAAGUGCCAUAACGAGCGCAACCCUUGUUGUCAGUUACUAACAGGUUCCGCUGAGGACUCUGACAAGACUGCCAUCGUAAGAUGUGAGGAAGGUGGGGAUGACGUCAAAUCAGCACGGCCCUUACGUCCGGGGCUACACACGUGUUACAAUGGGGGGUACAGAGGGCCGCUACCACGCGAGUGGAUGCCAAUCCCCAAAACCUCUCUCAGUUCGGACUGGAGUCUGCAACCCGACUCCACGAAGCUGGAUUCGCUAGUAAUCGCGCAUCAGCCACGGCGCGGUGAAUACGUUCCCGGGCCUUGUACACACCGCCCGUCAAGCCAUGGCAGCCGGGGGUACCUGAAGUGCGUAACCGCGAGGAGCGCCCUAGGGUAAAACUGGUGACUGGGGCU
rnacentral:rRNA from 1 species